rnacentral:miRNA from 1 species
AAUCACUAGCUUUACUGUCAU